GGUGACAUUUGGGGGGAAGUGUGGUAAAAUUUGGGAUAGGCAAGGUUGCUUUUUAAUCUUUAAUGAAGGUGCCUUGUAAAUGACCUAAUUCUGUUUGCUUGUAGGUGUCACUGACUGACAGAGAGGUUUAUAGAAUGUCCCACAGAUACACUCUGCCCCUCACAGCCCAGGAGACAAGGAUGUUCCUAAGUCCCAAAUACCAAGUGAAGGCCACUCUUUGGGUAUGUGCUAACACAAUUUUAAAAUAGAAGGAAAAGAAAAAGAAGAAGAAGAAAAGGACGAACAUGGAAGAAAGAAAAAACAAAAUUAGCCAGGCAUGGUGGCGUGUACCUGCAAUCCCAGGUACUUGGGAGGCUGAGACAGGAGAAUCGUUUGAACCCACGAGGCAGAGGUUGGAGUGAGGAAAUUCCAAGUCCACGUGAGGACAGGAUGAGAAGGUGGUGGUCUGCAAGCCAGGAGGAGAGGCCUCACCAGAAAGCAGCCCUGCCAGCACCUUGAUCUUGAACUUCUGGUCUCCAGACCUGUGAGAAAAUAAACCUGUUGUUCGA